rnacentral:rRNA from 1 species
GUUAAGCGACUAAGCGUACACGGUGGAUGCCCUGGCAGUCAGAGGCGAUGAAGGACGUGCUAAUCUGCGAUAAGCGUCGGUAAGGUGAUAUGAACCGUUAUAACCGGCGAUUUCCGAAUGGGGAAACCCAGUGUGUUUCGACACACUAUCAUUAACUGAAUCCAUAGGUUAAUGAGGCGAACCGGGGGAACUGAAACAUCUAAGUACCCCGAGGAAAAGAAAUCAACCGAGAUUCCCCCAGUAGCGGCGAGCGAACGGGGAGCAGCCCAGAGCCUGAAUCAGUAUGUGUGUUAGUGGAAGCGUCUGGAAAGGCGCGCGAUACAGGGUGACAGCCCCGUACACAAAAAUGCACAUGCUGUGAGCUCGAUGAGUAGGGCGGGACACGUGGUAUCCUGUCUGAAUAUGGGGGGACCAUCCUCCAAGGCUAAAUACUCCUGACUGACCGAUAGUGAACCAGUACCGUGAGGGAAAGGCGAAAAGAACCCCGGCGAGGGGAGUGAAAAAGAACCUGAAACCGUGUACGUACAAGCAGUGGGAGCACGCUUAGGCGUGUGACUGCGUACCUUUUGUAUAAUGGGUCAGCGACUUAUAUUCUGUAGCAAGGUUAACCGAAUAGGGGAGCCGAAGGGAAACCGAGUCUUAACUGGG